UGUGUGUCUAGACCAAGAAAAAAAUCAAAGACUCCUUUUUUCUCUGGAACAGCCUUUGGACAUAAAUUAGAGUUCUCUAAGAUACCCAGGAUUCUUCUUCUCCUCCUCCUAUAACAUUUGUAAGAUGUUCAGAGUCACCCCAGAUCCUCACUCCUGGUUCUGAGAAGCAGAAUAUACUGAAGAAGCUCAGAACUUAAUGGAGAAUUUCCACAUAUAAUAGGAAUUAUUCUGACAGACUGAUGUUCAUGCUGGAAACAUAGAAGAGAAGCUGGAUGGGCUAUACUUCAGUCCUCCUUUGAAGCCAAUAGCUUCAUAUCCACUGACUUCAAUCAGAGCAAUA
rnacentral:lncRNA from 1 species